UGUCCCUGUCUGACCCCGAGGACCAACCAGGCAAGAGGCAACACUCCAGACUCCAAACGUUUGAAUCGGCCAAACCUGUGUGAGACGUCCCGACUUCAGGAAGAGCAUCCGUGACUCGCUGCUGCCCUCUAGCUGAGGGGAGUCUGCAUGGGCAUGUGGACGGGGGCAUCCCCCAGGGAGAUAUGGGUUAUGGGGAGGCUGUAAAUUGAGGACACAAGCUCAGGAAAGGGUCUUAGAGGCCAGACCUGUCCAGCAAAGGGAGGGAGGGGAACAGUCUCACUCCCUGAAAUGCUGGGGAGGGUUUUCCAAGGCCAGUGAUCCCACUGCAGGAGUGGUAAGAUGGGAGGGGCAUAGACAGCACGACCUGUGGACAGACCACUGUACUGAGUUCUGGGAAAGCUCUCCCAGCUGGGAAGCAGGUCUCCCCUCAGGAUCUCCCCUCAGUGGGGGCAAAGCCUGGGGCAGACACGUCGGGAGCGACAAAAUGAUAAAACACAACACAGGCAGACCCCCGAUGUGGUGGCAGGGGCUGGGGCCGGGGGAGAGAAAAAGCAGAGGAACCUGAGGGGUCACUGCCAUCCCCACUGACUGUAGGUUUUCCCACCCAAUGGUUUUCUUUUCAGAGCCACCAUGGCAGAGGGGAGCAGGCAGCCUCCCACCCAGAGGGGAUUCUGGAAGGGUCUGCGGAGAGCACUAUAACUUCCAUCAUCUGGCCGCCAUGAGGAAUCCAAAUCAAUUAUUUGGCAUAUGUCGAAUCGUACCAGCAGAGGAGGAGGAGAAGGCAAAAGAGAAGGUGGAGCAGGAGAGCCCAUCCUGCCACCUUUCCCGAACCAGCCCUCCCAGCGAGCACCUCCAGGACCCAACCUCAUCCUGCCUUUCGCCCCAAGCCCCAAGCUUGGCCUCCCGUCUUGGCCAUCGCCUCGGCAUCUGACCUCAGCCUGCACUCCAGGCCGUCUCCCCAAUAUCGGACCUCAACCUGCCCUUCCGGCCCUUGCUCCAAGAGGCAACUAGAGCCCGACCUCCUGGCCAUCACCCCCAAGCAGCCCCUCUGUGUCCAUUUCUGCCAGAUCUGACCUCAGCCUGCCUUCCGAGUGAUCACCCCCAGAAUCCCACCUAAGGCCGAACGGAUGCUAGGCUCGUUUUCCUAGGGUUCGGGCCACGGGGCAGAGAGGUGAGCUCCCUGCCACUCCCACAUUGGAGACCACACGGGAUCUGUUCCCAACCCUUCUGCCCGUCUCCCGGGAGCCACAGGACCAUACACGUGCUGCCUCUGGACCACCAUGGCCGCCUUCCUCACCCCUCCUCUCCUCGACAUCGUCCCUGUAAUCCAGGGCAUUAAGGACCAUCUUACGGCAUCUACCCUACUGUUUAAGGUGCCUGCAGGCAUUUUCCUCACCCCAUACCUCAUCACCACAUGGGAGAGAUUCUCUUGCCCUGACCCCUGGCCCCAUCUUCCCUGCUUCCUGCCCAGGGCACGGCCUGCCCUGCCUCACGGUCCAACCAUCCAAGACACCUCCCCCCAAUCAGGGACGAUCCCCAGUGACCCCACCUCCUUUCCUGCUUAGGUUCCCGCCUCAUCACUUUGAUCUUCGGCCCGGACCGAAGCAGGUCCCACUGACGAGUCCCAGAACAAAGAGCCCUGUGGUCAUCCGAGCCGGCCUUGUGGCAUUUGUUCGGCACUUUCCUAAGUGUCUCAUACUGUACUGAAUGCAGGAGUAGAGAAGAUUUAUUCAGAUUUCCUACAGUCCCCAUCCAACGUGGGUCUCAGAGUCUACUUGAAAGGGAGGAGAGCUAAUUCACUCAUCUAUUAUACAGGUGAGGCAACUGAGGCCUAGAGAAGCUAAACGUGAAGUCCUACAGUUGGCAAGUUGUAAAGGCAGAUAGAGAACCCAGGUUCUGUGACUCCCAGUUUAGCCAGCAACCACCUCGCAUCAGCAGCCCAGAGGCAUUCCUAUUAGAGAACAUCCCUAGGAAAAGAUCCCUAGGAAAGGACCCUUUCGUUGCCCUGGAAUAAUUACCAAUACGAGAACACGAUGACACUUCAUGAGGUCCACAAUAUCGCAGUUUACAUGCUCACCCACCUGUGCAGAGACCAGUGGACCACUGCCCUCGGAGCAAAGACUCCAGCCUACCCCGCUGGGGAGAUGUCCAGUCCUGGGAUAGUGAUUUCUGAUCUUGACCACACCCACCCUCUGGGCCGACCAUGGUCCCGGUGGACACCAGAUAUAACUUCUGUAGUGACUCAUAUUGGCACGGUCCACGUGCGCCGACAAGCAGAUGGGAUGACCUGAGUCUGCACAAACUGUCUGUGGGGCCGGUGUUGGGGGGUCCACACCUCUCUUCUUCUCCAGUCACAUACCUUCCCGGUCACUCUGAAAAUGGCUGCUGGGGCUGAACCGCAGAACUCAGCAGCGGGGGCUGGGUCUGAUGGCAAAAAAACACUAGGUAUUGAAAUGUCUGGAGUCCUAUCCAGGCAGGCCAGAGGGCAUACAAGGUGGAAGCUGAAUGUUAUCCAGGGCAUCAAACCAGAUAACUGCCCUUUGCCUCCAGGGGACAUGAGGGCCCCCAACCUCUUCAUGACCCUGUUUUCUUAAUGUGUCAUUUUUUCCUUCUCUUAUCCUGUUCCCUUUUCCCCCAUAUAUUAAAAUUCAUUAUGUAUUCAUA